GUGAAUCAUCAAAUCUUUGAACGCAUAUUGCACUCUCUGGUAUUCCGGAGAGUAUGCCUGUUUGAGGGUCAUUAAAAAGAAUCUUUAAUCAAUUAUUUCUGGUCAAUGGAAAUGAGUUCUCCGUGUUUAUAGCGGUAGUUUGAACUAAAAGGACAAGAUUUAUUUUAGUCGAGACGUGCAAUAAUAUUAUUCCGCGCUUU
rnacentral:misc_RNA from 1 species